CUUACAACAGUGGGGUCCCUCAGCCUGGACUGUGCCCUCUCGCAAUCCGAGACCCCUCGGGGGAUGUUGGAGAGCCAGCCUCGGCCCAAUCCCCACAGGCCAGGCUGAGGGACCCCACUGGUGCACA
rfam:Myotis lucifugus cont2.15570, whole genome shotgun sequence.